rnacentral:rRNA from 1 species
UACGUAGGGCGCAAGCGUUGUCCGGAAUUACUGGGCGUAAAGCGCACGUAGGCGGCUUGGUAUGUCGGGUGUGAAAUCCCCGGGCUCAACCUGGGAACUGCAUCCGAAACUGCCUUGCUAGAGUAUGGGAGAGGGAAGUGGAAUUUCCGGUGUAGCGGUGAAAUGCGUAGAUAUCGGAAGGAACAUCAGUGGCGAAGGCGACUUCCUGGACCAAUACUGACGCUCAGGUGCGAAAGCGUGGGGAGCAAACAGG